rnacentral:lncRNA from 1 species
GAAAAAAAGCGACGGCCAUUUCUCAGAGAAGAGCCGAAGUCAGUCCCAGCUCAUCGCUCGGACGCGACUAAGGGUGCAAGGAAUAAGGAAAGCCAUACGAGACUUGGCGGCCAACAACCCGGGGGACCCUCCAGGUCCCUCAACCGUUGCCGAGGUGUUGUCCCUCGACCGCCGCGGUCGCCGCACCCUUCUGGCCGCUCUGCCCGAGGGAACCCCUCACCCAGUGCACGGCAGCGGGGACGGCAGCCAACGAAUCCGGUCGGCCUCCGCGGAUCUCCACAGGCAGCGCCGCUCCCCCGCUCGACGCGCGCUUCGCCCGCCGCCUCCCUUCUCCAGUCCAAACAAACACCCCAGCCCGGAAGUGACUUCACUUCCGCCGCCGCCGGCUCCGCCCCCUCGUUCUGUCCCCGCUGCCCUUUGAGACCACUAGAGGGCGCGCGAGAGAACGCGCGACCCCCGCGUUCUCUUCUUACCCCAGGCUGCACGCGUGGUGCGAGUGCGGGGGCCUUUCCUGCGUUCCUGGUGGACUCCGGAAGUCUUGUUGGAUUCUCUUUGGGAGAGCGGAGUUGGGCCGAGCCUGUCCCCCGACACCCGCCCAUCCUUCAGGAAUGUUGGCAUGCAGCAUCCCCUUCGGAAUGGCAGAAGCACAAAGUGCCCAGCAUCCUGGCCGCCUAGUCUGAGUGCCAUCUUUGUCACGGCAUCCUGGGUUCUGACCACCUGCCCCUCUUGGCACCCCAGGCCCUGUCUUUAACCUAACAUCUAGUUCCUACCCUGUCAACUCCUUAAAUCUAGUUUUGCAGAGAACAAAUGGUUUAUUUAAACCGUGUGUCUGACAAACUUUUCAAAGACCCCUGAUUUAGAAGAAAGAAAAAGACACAUUUAAGAAGCAACUAAUACUUUGUGAUUUUCACAAAGAGGUCUAAGGAAAACUUAGAGGAGUACACCUGGAUAUUUAUUUUUUGUUUGGUUGGUUUGUUUUCAGCAUUACUGAGUUACAAUUGAGAAAUAAAGUUGUAAGAUGUUUAAAGUGUACA